ACGUAGGGGGCAAGCGUUGUCCGGAAUUAUUGGGCGUAAAGCGCGCGCAGGCGGUUUUUUAAGUCUGGUGUAUAAGUGCGGGGCUCAACCCCGUGAGGCACUGGAAACUGGGGGACUUGAGUGCAGAAGAGGAAAGUGGAAUUCCACGUGUAGCGGUGAAAUGCGUAGAGAUGUGGAGGAACACCAGUGGCGAAGGCGACUUUCUGGUCUGUAACUGACGCUGAGGCGCGAAAGCGUGGGGAGCAAACAGGA
rnacentral:rRNA from 1 species